rnacentral:lncRNA from 1 species
AAUAGAAGUCGUAUUUGUAAUUCAACUUGUCAUGAUGAAGGUUUUCCGCUUGGUGGUGAAUGCAUUGGAUGCAUGAGCUGUGUUCAUGGGAGUGCCACACUUAAAAGUUGUUUCUGCAAAAAUAGUAGUUGUGAAUAGUUUGGGUCAUGAGCAUGUUAGUGCUCGAGUAAAGAUCUUUUUCAUUUUUCAAAUGAUUGGAAGUCUUAAUUACAAUAAUUUUAACGUAUAAAUGUCUGAUUAUGCCACACUUAUCGAAAUGUGUGCAUAAUUUUUCUUUUAUGGGUCUUGCUUAUUUAAGGGCUUAAAGAGUGCACCGGGGACACUAUUUAACAUUUGCCUUCUUUUAUUCACUCUAAAACUAUAAAGUACGUAGUAGCGAAGAUCUCAAUUUUUUUUUGAAAAUUGUGGAUUAUAUUCUUUCUCGCCAGUUCUCUAGUUUUUGCAGUUUCACUAGACUUUAGCUACUCUACUAUAUAUUUGUGUUAUGUUUCUCUUAUUAUUAAGGAGUACCCCUUAUAAUCAUUUGUGUCAUGUUUUAUGUUUUUUAAUCAAUCUUUUUUUAGUUGCAUCAAUUUUUGUUUGCAUUCGUGAUAUAUUAUUUUCAAUCAAAAAGUAGUGAAAUUGCAUUCGUGAUACAAGUGACUUGAAAUCAUCAUUAAUAGACUAUGAACUAUUAUUU